rfam:Arthrobacter arilaitensis RE117 chromosome, complete sequence.
ACCCCAUCCAGAGCGACCGAGAGACCUGGCUCGUUGAAGUCGCAGCAACCACCCGUAAACGGGAGCGGUGCUAAGGCCGGGACCGAUGGAGA